rnacentral:rRNA from 1 species
CACUCUAGAGAGACUGCCAGGGAUAACCUGGAGGAAGGUGGGGAUGACGUCAAAUCAUCAUGCCCCUUAUGCUUAGGGCUACACACGUGCUACAAUGGGUAGUACAGAGGGUUGCCAAGCCGUAAGGUGGAGCUAAUCCCUUAAAGCUACUCUCAGUUCGGAUUGUAGGCUGAAACUCGCCUACAUGAAGCUGGAGUUACUAGUAAUCGCAGAUCAGAAUGCUGCGGUGAAUGCGUUCCCGGGUCUUGUACACACCGCCCGUCACACCACGGGAGUUGGAGACGCCCGAAGCCGAUUAUCUAACCUUUUGGAAGAAGUCGUCGACGGUGGAAUCAAUAACUGGGGUGAAGUCGUAACAAGGUAGCCGUAUCGGAAGGUGCGGCUGGAUCACCUCCUUUCUAAGGAGA